AGAGUUUGAUCCUGGCUCAGGACGAACGCUGGCGGCGUGCCUAAUACAUGCAAGUCGAGCGGAUCUUCUCCUUCGGGGGAAGGUUAGCGGCGGACGGGUGAGUAACACGUAGGCAACCUGCCCACAAGACUGGGAUAACAUUCGGAAACGGAUGCUAAGACCGGAUACGCAACUUGGUCGCAUGACUGGGUUGGGAAACA
rnacentral:rRNA from 1 species